UCUAAAUUACAUAAUAAAUGGCGCUAUUCGUGCCACGCUGCCCUGCUCUGCUUACACAGGAAGUAAGCAGAGGGACCGCGCAGCCAUAGUUGCCAUUUCCAUUUGGAAAUUCAACCCCUCUUCCUGUGCUUCUCUUACAGCUAUGUAUAUGCUCACUGCUCUCUCUCUCUCUCUCUCUCAAUCUGGUGUUUUUCUGUUCUCUCUCUGUGACUGAUGAGCUGCUGCUAUAUAUAAAAAGAGGGAGGGAGAGAGUAACCGCACCUCCACACCUCGUCCCAACUACUGACUGAACCCCAUACCUUACCCUUCCCAUCUCUUGUCUCUCAACUCACCAUUGCUGCCCUUCAAUUCAUGCCAACUACUCUUUUCUGAAGAAAGGGAGAAGUUCCACUGCCAGCGGCGUGUACAGAGAGGAAGUUUCACUUACUUCCCCUACAUGGGAAAGACACGUACAUAUCUGAAGACACAAGCUGCAGCGGCGUGUUUCUGUUUGUUCUUCUUUUGCUUGCCGCAUACUAAGUGAUCGAGCCUUGUGAGAGGACAGAGGGAGAAACACUUGCAUCAUCCCUCACUUUCGCCACCGUCAUAAUUGGCCGCCAUAUAAGGAUGGUGGAGUCUAUGGCGGUCGUGGUGAUUUACGACGCAUAGCGGGACCCGGGGGGAGCAGAUGUGGGAGGUGGGGUACAGCAGCGCUGCCAUGUCCGCCACUCCCCUUCCUUCCUCAUGCUCUAAGUAUGCGUAUGCGUAUGCGAAGAAGCACAAUCAUAUUGUUAAUAAAGGUGGCGGAGAUGGUUAGCGGGCCGGAGAAGGAGAUCGUUGGACUUGUUCACGGAUGCAUAAAGACCGUGGCCUGAGGCACCCCUUGCCUUUGUUAUUACCCUCACCCUCGAAGGAGGAUACCGUGACGUCGACACCACCCCUCCGCCCGUGAUCCCUCCCACCCGUGAACGACCGCGCGUGGGCCCUGUCCCUCCAAUCUGUCCCUCCAACCCGUGAACGCAAGUCCCGUGAUCCCUCCAACUCGUGAACGACGUGGGCCCUGUCCCGUAGGUCCCGUGAUCCCUCCAACCUGUGAACGACGCAACUAGGCGUGGGCCCUGUCCCGCAGGUCUCGUGAUCCCGUGAUCCCUCCAAUCCGUGAACGAUGCAACAAGGCGUGGGCCAUGUCCCGCAGGUCCCGUGAUCCCUCCCACCCGUGAACGAUCGCGCGUGGGCUCUGUCCCGCAGGUCCCGUGAUCCCUCCCAUCCGUGAACGACGCAACAAGGCGUGGGCCCUGUCCCGCAGGUCCCGUGAUCCUGUGAUCCCUCCCACCCGGAAUGGUUCUCCAUGGGAAACCUAGCGGGGAGGCAUUCGGAUCGCACCAGCAGGCACAAGACCAGCCAUCGGAAACCUAGCAGCGGCGUCGAGGAAGCCUCGGCCUCGGGGCUCUUCCACGGCAAGCGCAAGCGCCACCGUGGCGGCCUCCGGCGGCGGCACGGUGCACCGGUGCUCGGUGUGCCUGAAGACGUUUCCAUUGGGGCAAGCGCUGGGGGGCACAAGAGGUGCCACAACGACGGGAACAUCGGCAGCGGCACUACCCCGGCGGCGAUGACGUCGUCGGAGGGGGCGAGCUCGAGGCACAGGGCGUUCUAUCUGAUCGCGCCAGCGUCGCCGAACCCGGAGUUCGACGACGUAAACGGGGUGCAGAGCCUGUCAGCCUUCAAGAAACCGAGACCUGUCAUCCCGACAUGAGCGAGUCAACUCCAGUGCGUGGAAUAUUGGUCAUUCGUUGUGUACAGAGAAUGACCCAUUCUUUGUAGCUGAAGUCGAUUCUUUCCCUAACGUCAAAUUGAUUUCUUUAGAAAUCGUUUUCGAUGGAGGAAUUUACCUGCUUUAGUAAAUUCAUGUUGAAUUGUAUUUCUCAAUUGUGUUGCCAAUCUUUUUGUACGUAUCAUAAAAAAUAAUUUUCACGAUUCUUUUGCGGAGGUUCUUUA